AAAAAGGCAAACCCUGGGUUUCCGUGUCCAACGUUUGACCGUCCGUCUUAUUUGAAAAGUAUAAAAAAAAUUAAAAAGAUAAGUCACACAUAAAUUAUUAAUCAUGUUUUAUCAUCUAACAAUAAUGAAAAUACUAAUUAUAAAAAAAAAUUCAUAUAAGACGGACAGUCAAAUGUUAGACACGGAAAUCCUGUUUUGUCUUUUUU
rfam:Oryza nivara chromosome 1, whole genome shotgun sequence.